rfam:Triticum aestivum genome assembly, contig: Triticum_aestivum_CS42_TGACv1_scaffold_557406_7AL
UUAAUAUUCCAUCCGUCUGGAAAUACUUGUCAUCAAAAUAAAUAAAAGAGGAUGUAUCUAGACGUAUAUUGGUUCUACAUACAUUCAUUUUUAUCCUUUUUGAUGACAAAUAUUUUUGGACGGAGGAAGUAGUAU